AUUGCUUCUUGGUCUUUUGGCUAAGAAUUAAAUAGUUCUUUCCAUUUUAAUACCUGAUACAUCCUUGGCUGGACUGCACAUUAUACGUGAUGGUUGUUUGGUACUGGGAGAUGGACGAGGUGCUUCCUCCACCCUCUCCAGGCACAAGCUUGGUAUAGCAGUGUUCCCAGGAACGGUGUGAAAAGC
ensembl:snRNA U2 U2 spliceosomal RNA